rnacentral:rRNA from 1 species
UACGUAGGGGGCAAGCGUUGUCCGGAUCAUUGGGCGUAAAGAGCGUGUAGGCGGCCAGGUAGGUCGGUUGUGAAACUGGAGGCUCAACCUUCAGAGGUCGACCGAAACCAUCUGGCUAGAGUCCGGGAGAGGAGAGUGGGAAUUCCUGGUGUAGCGGUGAAAUGCGCAGAUAUCAGGAAGAACACCCGUGGCGAAAGCGGCUCUCUGGAACGGUACUGACGCUGAGACGCGAAAGCGUGGGGAGCGAACAGG